rnacentral:rRNA from 1 species
AUUGAACGCUGGCGGCAGGCUUAACACAUGCAAGUCGAGCGGGGUGAUGGUGCUUGCACUAUCACUUAGCGGCGGACAGGUGAGUAAUGCUUAGGAAUCUGCCUAUUAGUGGGGGACAACAUCUCGAAAGGGAUGCUAAUACCGCAUACGUCCUACGGGAGAAAGCAGGGGAUCACUUGUGACCUUGUGCUAAUAGAUGAGCCUAAGUCGGAUUAGCUAGUUGGUGGGGUAAAGGCCUACCAAGGCGACGAUCUGUAGCGGGUCUGAGAGGAUGAUCCGCCACACCGAGACUGAGACACGGCCCAGACCCCUACGGGAGGGAGCAGUGGGGAAUAUUGGACAAUGGGGGGACCGCUGAUCCAGCCAUGCCGCGUGUGUGAAGAAGGCCUUAUGGUUGUAAAGCACUUUAAGCGAGGAGGAGGCUUACCUAGUUAAUACCUGGGAUAAGUGGACGUUACUCGCAGAAUAAGCACCGGCUAACUCUGUGCCAGCCGCCGCCGUAA